AGUGUCCCCGCUCGACGCUGUUAGAGGCCCUGUAUUAUUAUCUAUUGAAGAUUUAAAGAUUGGUCUAAGAUGGAGUACGAUGCUCUGAUUUUGGGAUUGAUCAUUUAUUUACUCUUAGUGGGAGUAUUAGUCAUAAUUAACGAAUCAUUCUGCAAAGCGAUUUGCUUAAAACAUGCUCAGCAAGCCAACCUUGGAAGAAAACCACCCGACGUGGAAAUGAACGAAAGGAACCCAAAGAUAAUACCGAGGGAACCAAUCCUGCACCAGCCAACCAAGACGUCUUAUCGGCAAAAGUUCUAGUAUUCGACAACAGAUGGCGUUGAUACCAAUAAUGAUUCUGAUCGCCAAAAAGAAAUUGUACAAAGUCAGUCUUCGCCCAAUUUCAAUCUAAAUUAUAGUAAUAACAAAUGAGAUAUUAGAGACAAAUAAAAUUCAAUAGUUUUUAUCAAAUUAUUUACUUACAAAUUAAGUUAUUCUUAAUUAAUCUUAACUUACGAUAACGAAGUCUAGUUAAAGCAGCUUCAAUAAAUACCUCAUACUUGAAGAUGUAUUAUUUCUAAA